rnacentral:tRNA from 1 species
AUAGCUCAGCAGCAUAGCGCCUGCCUGGCAAGCAUGAGACCCUGGAUUCGAGUCCCAGU